CAAAGGUUUGGUCCUGACUUUACUAACAACUUUAACUAGACUUACACAUGCAAGUAUCUGCACCCCUGUGAGAAUGCCCUACAGUUCCCUGCCCGGGAACAAGGAGCGGGUAUCAGGCACGGCCCCCCCCAGCCCAUGACACCUUGCUUAGCCACACCCCCAAGGGAACUCAGCAGUGAUAAACAUUAAGCCAUAAGUGAAAACUUGACUUAGUUAAAGUUAAAAGGGUCGGUAAAACUCGUGCCAGCCACCGCGGUUAUACGAGAGACCCGAGUUGUUAGAUGCCGGCGUAAAGAGUGGUUAAGGAAACCCCUAAACUAAAGCCGAACGCUUUCAAAGCUGUUAUACGCAUACCGAAAGUAAGAAGCUCAAUCACGAAAGUGGCUUUACACAACCUGACCCCACGAAAGCUAUGACACAAACUGGGAUUAGAUACCCCACUAUGCCUAGCCCUAAACAUUGGUAGUAUUCUACACCCACUACCCGCCCGGGAACUACGAGCAUUAGCUUGAAACCCAAAGGACUUGGCGGUGCUUUAGAUCCACCUAGAGGAGCCUGUUCUAGAACCGAUAACCCCCGUUCAACCUCACCUUUUCUUGUUUAACCCGCCUAUAUACCACCGUCGUCAGCUUACCCUGUGAAGGUCCCAUAGUAAGCAAAAUUGGCACAGCCCAAAACGUCAGGUCGAGGUGUAGCGUAUGGAAAGGGAAGAAAUGGGCUACAUUCUCUGCCACAGAGAACACGGACAAUACACUGAAAUACGUAUCCUGAAGGAGGAUUUAGCAGUAAGCAGGAAAUAGAGUGUCCUGCUGAAACCGGCCCUGAAGCGCGCACACACCGCCCGUCACUCUCCCCUAGUCUAUUAUUUUUUAUAAUUAAACCCCCACAACUGCAAAGGGGAGGCAAGUCGUAACAUGGUAAGCGUACCGGAAGGUGCGCUUGGAAAAAC
rnacentral:ncRNA from 1 species